CUCAAAAUCUAAUCGUUGGUUUCCUCGUGAUUUCUUGCAUACCUAAAAGUGAAAGGAAAGCUUAAGACUUCUAUCUUGUCUUCAAUUAGUUGUGUUGUUUCUCUGUCUCAAUAGUUUUUGGAUUUAUUUGAUACGAUUUGCAACAUAUAUAUCUACUUUUGUCAUAUUUUACGGUCCUGUAUAAGCAUUAGUGUUUUGCAUUGAAUUAUUGAUUUCGUGUAAAAUGUCCAUAAGGUAUGUUUUCUUUGGUGGAAAAGGAUGGAAAACAAUUAUUUUCAACUCUUUUCUCCUCUUAUUACAUAUUCUGUCGAGUAGAUAACUUUCUCCGAUCAUAAUGAAAAAUUUUCAUGUGGAAGGUUUUUCCCUUCUCUUCACUCCAGUUGUGGAAAGUAUUAUCAUGCGGGGAUGGUGUGUUAACAUUAUCAUAAGAGGAGAGAAUAUCAGACGAGCCGAGCUCAAGCUCAGUUUGAAUCGAGCUCAAGUUCAGUAAUUAGGUGGCGAGCCAAGCUUGAUCAACAAGACAGAAGCUCAAGCUCGAGCUCGUUCAAUAAAAAUAGAAGCUCUGAGUCGAGCCCGAGACGAGCUUGAAACUCAAAUAUUUAAAAGAGCUGAGCUCGAGCCGGCUACUAUUUGACUCGGCUCGUUUACAGCCAUUGCUCAUGCAGCAGAACUCUCCUCAAAGGCUGAAAAUCCAGUGAGUGUCUUCAUCUUCGUCUCUGUUUCAUUAUAUAUUGAUAGGCACUGCACAACUGCAUGACACAUGUGAUCGUGGCAUAGAAAAUGCAAGAAGAUAACCAUUUUUUUAUUACUAAACUACUCAUUUCACCAUCAUCAUCUUUGACUAUCUAUGCAGGUGGUAACAUCUAGAUACUAUUAUUUAUAUAGUGCUUUGUGAAUUCUUGCUACUCAUGAAUCAUGUGGCUUUGUUGAAGAUUUUCUCUAGUAUUAUUCUUGGUAUAUUUUGUUAUUACAUGUAUAUAUUAUCCUUCCCAAAAAUUGAUAUCUUGCUGGAUGUACUGCUGCACUGCACAGACAUUACUUUCCGGGAAAAAAAUGUUCUGUACAAGAAUAUUGAUGUCCUGUAAUAAGGUGCUCCAGCUGUACACACACACACACACACAUUAUAUAUCUUAUUCUUGGAAUCAUCUUGAUUAAUUUUUGGGAGUGGCAUAUCCAAUCCAACCA